AUGCCGCCACCCCUCUCUAACCCUAGCUUCCCGUCACCGGCGGCGGCGCCCUCCCUCCCUCGCCCUCUCCUCCUUCCCUCCUCACGGCCAUAUCUCCGUUCCCCCAUAGCCACACCUCAUCCUCCUCCCCAUCCCCCGGUCCCGUCCCCAGCCCUGCCCGGAUCCACCGUGCAUGUCCACAGCCACAGCCGCCGCCCCCAGCCCCGCCCACGGCGGCCGCCACCACCCCAAGCCUUGUCUUGCUAUAACUCUUCACGAGCAGUGAAGGGAAGAAGAAGGGGAAAGGGGAUGGCCGCCGACACUGCCUACGCGAAGCGGGUGCUGCUCGCCUGCAACGGCGGCGCCGACGCCGUCUUGCGAGGGGUUGGCGUCGGCCUCGCCAGGCACGGCUGCAGGCUGGUCCUGGUGGGCGACGAGGGCACCCUGGCUGCGACGGUGGAGGAGGUGCGGCGCAGCGCGGCAGAAGGGGCGGCGGCCAUCGCGGUGGUCGGGAUGGACCUCGCGGCCUGCGACGAGGCUGCUACUUGCUCGUUUCCGUCCAGAUCAUACCCGAGUUCCUGCUGCUGA
rnacentral:rRNA from 1 species